UCGCUCUAGUUUAGUCAGGUAGAAUAUGGGUUUCCAAAACUCAAUUUUGUAGGUUCAAAUCCUACAGAGCGUG
rfam:Gossypium hirsutum cultivar TM-1 chromosome 12, whole genome shotgun sequence